rnacentral:rRNA from 1 species
AAAUUGAAGAGUUUGAUCAUGGCUCAGAUUGAACGCUGGCGGCAGGCCUAACACAUGCAAGUCGAGCGGUAGCACAGAGAGCUUGCUCUCGGGUGACGAGCGGCGGACGGGUGAGUAAUGUCUGGGAAACUGCCUGAUGGAGGGGGAUAACUACUGGAAACGGUAGCUAAUACCGCAUAACGUCGCAAGACCAAAGUGGGGGACCUUCGGGCCUCAUGCCAUCAGAUGUGCCCAGAUGGGAUUAGCUAGUAGGUGGGGUAACGGCUCACCUAGGCGACGAUCCCUAGCUGGUCUGAGAGGAUGACCAGCCACACUGGAACUGAGACACGGUCCAGACUCCUACGGGAGGCAGCAGUGGGGAAUAUUGCACAAUGGGCGCAAGCCUGAUGCAGCCAUGCCGCGUGUGUGAAGAAGGCCUUCGGGUUGUAAAGCACUUUCAGCGGGGAGGAAGGCGUUAAGGUUAAUAACCUUGGCGAUUGACGUUACCCGCAGAAGAAGCACCGGCUAACUCCGUGCCAGCAGCCGCGGUAAUACGGAGGGUGCAAGCGUUAAUCGGAAUUACUGGGCGUAAAGCGCACGCAGGCGGUCUGUCAAGUCGGAUGUGAAAUCCCCGGGCUCAACCUGGGAACUGCAUUCGAAACUGGCAGGCUAGAGUCUUGUAGAGGGGGGUAGAAUUCCGGUGUAGCGGUGAAAUGCGUAGAGAUCUGGAGGAAUACCGGUGGCGAAGGCGGCCCCCUGGACAAAGACUGACGCUCAGGUGCGAAAGCGUGGGGAGCAAACAGGAUUAGAUACCCUGGUAGUCCACGCCGUAAACGAUGUCGAUUUGGAGGUUGUGCCCUUGAGGCGUGGCUUCCGGAGCUAACGCGUUAAAUCGACCGCCUGGGGAGUACGGCCGCAAGGUUAAAACUCAAAUGAAUUGACGGGGGCCCGCACAAGCGGUGGAGCAUGUGGUUUAAUUCGAUGCAACGCGAAGAACCUUACCUGGUCUUGACAUCCACAGAACUUUCCAGAGAUGGAUUGGUGCCUUCGGGAACUGUGAGACAGGUGCUGCAUGGCUGUCGUCAGCUCGUGUUGUGAAAUGUUGGGUUAAGUCCCGCAACGAGCGCAACCCUUAUCCUUUGUUGCCAGCGGUUCGGCCGGGAACUCAAAGGAGACUGCCAGUGAUAAACUGGAGGAAGGUGGGGAUGACGUCAAGUCAUCAUGGCCCUUACGACCAGGGCUACACACGUGCUACAAUGGCAUAUACAAAGAGAAGCGACCUCGCGAGAGCAAGCGGACCUCAUAAAGUAUGUCGUAGUCCGGAUUGGAGUCUGCAACUCGACUCCAUGAAGUCGGAAUCGCUAGUAAUCGUAGAUCAGAAUGCUACGGUGAAUACGUUCCCGGGCCUUGUACACACCGCCCGUCACACCAUGGGAGUGGGUUGCAAAAGAAGUAGGUAGCUUAACCUUCGGGAGGGCGCUUACCACUUUGUGAUUCAUGACUGGGGUGAAGUCGUAACAAGGUAACCGUAGGGGAACCUGCGGUUGGAUCACCUCCUUA